rnacentral:rRNA from 1 species
UACGUAGGGUGCGAGCGUUAAUCGGAUUUACUGGGCGUAAAGCGUGCGCAGGCGGCCCGUUAAGACAGAUGUGAAAUCCCUGGGCUCAACCUAGGAAUUGCGCUUGUGACUGGCGGGCUCGAGUACGGUAGAGGGGGGUGGAAUUCCUGGUGUAGCAGUGAAAUGCGUAGAGAUCAGGAGGAACACCGAUGGCGAAGGCAGCCCCCUGGGCCUGUACUGACGCUCAUGCACGAAAGCGUGGGGAGCAAACCGG